AUUGAACGCUGGCGGCAGGCCUAACACAUGCAAGUCGAGCGGAGCGGCGGAAGGGUGAGUAAUGCCUAGGAAUCUGCCUGGUAGUGGGGGAUAACGUCCGGAAACGGGCGCUAAUGCCGCAUACUAUCAAAUGAGCCUAGGUCGGAUUAGUUAGUUGGUGGGGUAAAGGCAUACCAAGGCGAAGAUCCGUAACUUGGCUGAGAGGAUGAUCGGUCACACUGGAACUGAGACACGGUCCAGACUCCUACGGGAGGCAGCAGUGGGUAAUAGUGGACAAUGGGCGAAAGCCUGAUCCAGCCAUGCCGCGUGUGUGAAGAAGGUCUUCGGAUGGUAAAGCACGUUAAGUUGGGAGGCGUUACCCGCAGAGGAAGCACCGGCUAACUCCGUGCCAGCAGCCGCGGUAAUAC
rnacentral:rRNA from 1 species